rnacentral:rRNA from 1 species
GACGAACGCUGGCGGCGUGCUUAACACAUGCAAGUCGAACGAAGAGCGAUGGAAGCUUGCUUCUAUCAAUCUUAGUGGCGCACGGGUGAGUAACGCGUAAUCAACCUGCCCUUCAGAGGGGGACAACAGUUGGAAACGACUGCUAAUACCGCAUACGAUCUAAUCUCGGCAUCGAGGAUAGAUGAAAGGUGGCCUCUACAUGUAAGCUAUCACUGAAGGAGGGGAGUGCGUCUGAUUAGCUAGUUGGCGGGGUAACGGCCCACCAAGGCGAUGAUCAGUAGCCGGUCUGAGAGGAUGAACGGCCACAUUGGGACUGGGACACGGCCCAGACCCCUACGGGAGGCAGCAGUGGGGAAUCUUCCGCAAUGGACGAAAGUCUGACGGAGCAACGCCGCGUGAGUGAUGACGGCCUUCGGGUUGUAAAGCUCUGUUAAUCGGGACGAAAGGCCUUCUUGCGAAUAGGGAGAAGGAUUGACGGUACCGGAAUAGAAAGCCACGGCUAACUACGUG